UACGAAGGGUGCAAGCGUUACUCGGAAUUACUGGGCGUAAAGCGUGCGUAGGUGGUUUGUUAAGUCUGCUGUGAAAGCCCCGGGCUCAACCUGGGAAUGGCAGUGGAUACUGGCAAGCUAGAGUGCGGUAGAGGGUAGUGGAAUUCCCGGUGUAGCGGUGAAAUGCGUAGAGAUGUGGAGGAACACCGAUGGCGAAGGCAGCCUUCUGGGCCAACACUGACGCUCAUGCACGAAAGCGUGGGGAGCAAACAGG
rnacentral:rRNA from 1 species